rnacentral:rRNA from 1 species
CUUGACAUCCACAGAACUUUCCAGAGAUGGAUUGGUGCCUUCGGGAACUGUGAGACAGGUGCUGCAUGGCUGUCGUCAGCUCGUGUUGUGAAAUGUUGGGUUAAGUCCCGCAACGAGCGCAACCCUUAUCCUUUGUUGCCAGCGGUUAGGCCGGGAACUCAAAGGAGACUGCCAGUGAUAAACUGGAGGAAGGUGGGGAUGACGUCAAGUCAUCAUGGCCCUUACGACCAGGGCUACACACGUGCUACAAUGGCAUAUACAAAGAGAAGCGACCUCGCGAGAGCAAGCGGACCU